rnacentral:misc_RNA from 1 species
GGACAUUGAUUUCAAAUCAGGAGCCAAAAAAACUAUUGUAUUGCCCACAUUUCCACUAGAUUCUCGCUUCAUGUCAACAUCUUCAUGGCAUCAAAAGUAUGAAUGUCAACAUAUGGUCCCUUCAUCUUAUGAGACAAUCAGAGCUCUUGUGUUUUCUGUUUCUCCAAUUGUGUCUGUUGUUGCCAGGAUCUAUGAUGCAAGACCUGGAACUCUGAAUAUUGUCUUGGAAACACCCAUGACGAAGGUUGUGGUAGAUAUGUCCAGGGGAGAUUUUUAUGCAGCUCCUUGGAAUCACAAAGCCUUCGAUGAUCCAUCUCCUGAUAGAUUUUGGCUGCAAAUAGAAGUAAUUGACAUAAUGGG